GUGGUAGCUCAGUGGUAGAGCACUUGCCUAGCAUGUGUGAGGCACUGGGUUUGAUCCCCAGAACCACA
rnacentral:tRNA from 1 species